AUGACCACAACUUCUGACUGUCCAAUUUGUGAAGCUGACUGUGAAAGUGUUCGCCAUUCAUUUUUCAGAUGCAACAUGGUCAAAGAAAUCUGGACAGAGCUGGGUUUGCUUCCCACUAUAAAUGAACUUUGUGAAGCUGAGUCGGAGGGCUCGUCGGUCCUAGGUGAUCUGUUACUGAUGCCCAAUGCCAUCAUACCAUCGCUCCCGGGUGUGACCAGGAAGGAGCUUGCGGCGGUGGCGAUGUGGUAUAUCUGGUGGGAGCGCAGGUGCUUUACCCAUGGCGAGGCCAUGCGAGAACCGGCUCGGUCGGCCCAGGCUAUUGUCACUUUGACAAAGAACUUCAUGAGAUCAAGGAAGCAAGGGGCGAUGCGGAUCAAAAGGCAUGGAUGGACUAGACCAGCUGCAGGUUUCGUUUGGCUCAAUGUCGAUGCUUCUUUCGACUCAGACAGCGGAACUGGCGGCACGGGGGCUAUCAUUAGAGACUCCGAUGCAGAAACAGCAGAAGCUAGAGGCCUCAAGGAUGGCUUGAUCUUGGCGAAUAACACUGGAUGCAAUAAGGUGGAGAUCCAAGCUGACUGCAUGGACGUGAUUCAAACCAUGCAACAGGAAGAAAAUUCUUUGGGACCAGCGGCAGCCAUCUACGAAGAAUGUGCUUUUUUAUGUCAUAAUUUUAUUUCAGUUAAAUUCUGUCAUUGUCCUAGGGAGGCCAAUAUGGCGGCUGAUUUGUUGGCUACAUAGUCGGAGCCCUCGAGAACUAUUGUGUGGCAGACCGAGGCUCCGGACUUUCUGCUUGAUGUACUCUCAAACGAUGUAGCCCUGUUUUCGCAUGAAAUAUAA
rnacentral:rRNA from 1 species